GCGAGGCGAGGCCUGCGGAGCGGAGGAAGACAAACAUAAAGAUGAAGUGCUUAAUUCAAGGUCACACAAUGUCGGGGAUGGACCUCCAGAUUUCCUUACUGACCUGCAUUAUCUUGUGGAUACCUGAGUGAAUUCCACACCACCCAUUUUAUAGAUGAAACCACUGAGACAUGGAGCAAUUGACUGAGUAGUCACUGCCCCACCCCUGCCUGGAGCCUCACACAUGACUCGCCUCCUCUCAGUGACCACAGGUUGGUUGAGGGGUUUAACAAGGCUAAGAAGGUGAGACGUGGUCUUGUAACACAGUGGUUAAGAAUGUGACUUUGGAGCCAGCCUGCUAGGGGCUGAAUUCUGACUCAGCCAUUUACUAACUGUGUGACCUUAGGUGGGUUCCCAAGCCUGUAAAAUGUAAGCCUUAUGCUGCUGAGGGCCAUCUUGCCACCCUGAGGGAAACGCUGCCUGAGAAUGAAACAAGCAUAAGUAAAAGCUGAGCUGUGAGAUGGAGCAAGAUGAAGGCCACAUGACAUCUUUGGAGCACCUGGAUCUAACUGUGCCUUAAGCUAGUCUAACCCUGAACAUUUCAUCAUUUCAUUGACAUGAGCCCAGGUUUUCUUUUUUUUUGGAUGGAGUCUUGCUCUGUCGCCCAGGCUGGAGUGCAGUAGCUCAAUCUCGGCUCACUGCAAGCUCCACCUCCCGGGUUCACGCCAUUCUCCUGCCUUAGCCUCCCAAGUAGCUGGGACAACAGGCGCCCACCACCACUCCCAGCUAAUUUUUUGUAUUUUUAGUAGAGACGGGGUUUUACCAUGUUAGCCGGGAUGGUCUUGAUCUCCUGACCUCAUGAUCCGCCCGCCUCGGCCUCCCAAAGUGCUGGGAUUACAGGUGUG
rnacentral:lncRNA from 1 species